rnacentral:rRNA from 1 species
UACGGAGGGUGCAAGCGUUAAUCGGAAUCACUGGGCGUAAAGCGUACGUAGGCUGCUUUGCAAGUCAGAUGUGAAAGCCCUCGGCUCAACCGAGGAAUUGCAUUUGAAACUGCAUUGCUAGAGUCCGGGAGAGGGUGGCGGAAUUCCAGGUGUAGGAGUGAAAUCCGUAGAUAUCUGGAGGAACAUCAGUGGCGAAGGCGGCCACCUGGACCGGUACUGACGCUGAGGUACGAAAGCGUGGGGAGCAAACAGG